rnacentral:rRNA from 1 species
GGUUAAGCGACUAAGCGUACACGGUGGAUGCCCUGGCAGUCAGAGGCGAUGAAGGACGUGCUAAUCUGCGAUAAGCGUCGGUAAGGUGAUAUGAACCGUUAUAACCGGCGAUUUCCGAAUGGGGAAACCCAGUGUGUUUCGACACACUAUCAUUAACUGAAUCCAUAGGUUAAUGAGGCGAACCGGGGGAACUGAAACAUCUAAGUACCCCGAGGAAAAGAAAUCAACCGAGAUUCCCCCAGUAGCGGCGAGCGAACGGGGAGCAGCCCAGAGCCUGAAUCAGUGUGUGUGUUAGUGGAAGCGUCUGGAAAGGCGCGCGAUACAGGGUGACAGCCCCGUACACAAAAACAUGCACAUGCUGUGAGCUCGAUGAGUAGGGCGGGACACGUGGUAUCCUGUCUGAAUAUGGGGGGACCAUCCUCCAAGGCUAAAUACUCCUGACUGACCGAUAGUGAACCAGUACCGUGAGGGAAAGGCGAAAAGAACCCCGGCGAGGGGAGUGAAAAAGAACCUGAAACCGUGUACGUACAAGCAGUGGGAGCACGCUUAGGCGUGUGACUGCGUACCUUUGUAUAAUGGGUCAGCGACUUAUAUUCUGUAGCAAGGUUAACCGAAUAGGGGAGCCGAAGGGAAACCGAGUCUUAACUGGGCGUUAAGUUGCAGGGUAUAGACCCGAAACCCGGUGAUCUAGCCAUGGGCAGGUUGAAGGUUGGGUAACACUAACUGGAGGACCGAACCGACUAAUGUUGAAAAAUUAGCGGAUGACUUGUGGCUGGGGGUGAAAGGCCAAUCAAACCGGGAGAUAGCUGGUUCUCCCCGAAAGCUAUUUAGGUAGCGCCUCGUGAAUUCAUCUCCGGGGGUAGAGCACUGUUUCGGCAAGGGGUCAUCCCGACUUACCAACCCGAUGCAAACUGCGAAUACCGGAGAAUGUUAUCACGGGAGACACACGGCGGUGCUAACGUCCGUCGUGAAGAGGGAAACAACCCAGACCGCCAGCUAAGGUCCCAAAGUCAUGGUUAAGUGGGAAACGAUGUGGGAAGGCCCAGACAGCCAGGAUGUUGGCUUAGAAGCAGCCAUCAUUUAAAGAAAGCGUAAUAGCUCACUGGUCGAGUCGGCCUGCGCGGAAGAUGUAACGGGGCUAAACCAUGCACCGAAGCUGCGGCAGCGACGCUGAUGCGUUGUUGGGUAGGGGAGCGUUCUGUAAGCCUGCGAAGGUGUGCUGUGAGGCAUGCUGGAGGUAUCAGAAGUGCGAAUGCUGACAUAAGUAACGAUAAAGCGGGUGAAAAGCCCGCUCGCCGGAAGACCAAGGGUUCCUGUCCAACGUUAAUCGGGGCAGGGUGAGUCGACCCUAAGGCGAGGCCGAAAGGCGUCGUCGAUGGGAAACUGGUUAUUAUUCCUGUACUUGGUGUUACUGCGAAGGGGGACGGAGAAGGCUAUGUUGGCCGGGCGACGGUUGUCCCGGUUUAAGCGUGUAGGCUGGUUUUCCAGGCAAAUCCGGAAAAUCAAGGCUGAGGCGUGAUGACGAGGCACUACGGUGCUGAAGCAACAAAUGCCCUGCUUCCAGGAAAAGCCUCUAAGCAUCAGGUAACAUCAAAUCGUACCCCAAACCGACACAGGUGGUCAGGUAGAGAAUACCAAGGCGCUUGAGAGAACUCGGGUGAAGGAACUAGGCAAAAUGGUGCCGUAACUUCGGGAGAAGGCACGCUGAUAUGUAGGUGAGGUCCCUCGCGGAUGGAGCUGAAAUCAGUCGAAGAUACCAGCUGGCUGCAACUGUUUAUUAAAAACACAGCACUGUGCAAACACGAAAGUGGACGUAUACGGUGUGACGCCUGCCCGGUGCCGGAAGGUUAAUUGAUGGGGUUAGCGCAAGCGAAGCUCUUGAUCGAAGCCCCGGUAAACGGCGGCCGUAACUAUAACGGUCCUAAGGUAGCGAAAUUCCUUGUCGGGUAAGUUCCGACCUGCACGAAUGGCGUAAUGAUGGCCGGCUGUCUCCACCCGAGACUCAGUGAAAUUGAACUCGCUGUGAAGAUGCAGUGUACCCGCGGCAAGACGGAAAGACCCCGUGAACCUUUACUAUAGCUUGACACUGAACAUUGAGCCUUGAUGUGUAGGAUAGGUGGGAGGCUUGGAAGUGUGGACGCCAGUCUGCAUGGAGCCGACCUUGAAAUACCACCCUUUAAUGUUUGAUGUUCUAACGUUGACCCGUAAUCCGGGUUGCGGACAGUGUCUGGUGGGUAGUUUGACUGGGGCGGUCUCCUCCUAAAGAGUAACGGAGGAGCACGAAGGUUGGCUAAUCCUGGUCGGACAUCAGGAGGUUAGUGCAAUGGCAUAAGCCAGCUUGACUGCGAGCGUGACGGCGCGAGCAGGUGCGAAAGCAGGUCAUAGUGAUCCGGUGGUUCUGAAUGGAAGGGCCAUCGCUCAACGGAUAAAAGGUACUCCGGGGAUAACAGGCUGAUACCGCCCAAGAGUUCAUAUCGACGGCGGUGUUUGGCACCUCGAUGUCGGCUCAUCACAUCCUGGGGCUGAAGUAGGUCCCAAGGGUAUGGCUGUUCGCCAUUUAAAGUGGUACGCGAGCUGGGUUUAGAACGUCGUGAGACAGUUCGGUCCCUAUCUGCCGUGGGCGCUGGAGAACUGAGGGGGGCUGCUCCUAGUACGAGAGGACCGGAGUGGACGCAUCACUGGUGUUCGGGUUGUCAUGCCAAUGGCACUGCCCGGUAGCUAAAUGCGGAAGAGAUAAGUGCUGAAAGCAUCUAAGCACGAAACUUGCCCCGAGAUGAGUUCUCCCUGACCCUUUAAGGGUCCUGAAGGAACGUUGAAGACGACGACGUUGAUAGGCCGGGUGUGUAAGCGCAGCGAUGCGUUGAGCUAACCGGUACUAAUGAACCGUGAGGCUUAACCUU